rnacentral:tRNA from 1 species
GCGAAUGUAGCUCAGUUGGUUUAGAGCAUCGGAUUGUGAUUCCGGGGGUCGCGGGUUCAAAUCCCGUCAUUCGCCCCA